rnacentral:rRNA from 1 species
GUCUUUUUGAUGUUAAUUUAAAGUCUGACCUGCCCACUGAAUUUUAAAUGGCCGUGGUAUUUUGACCGUGCUAAGGUAGCAUAAUCAUUAGUUUCUUAAUUGGAAUCUGGAAUGAAGGGUUGAAUAAGAAAAAAGCUGUCUCUAUUUAAUUAUUUUAGAAAUUUAUAUUUAAGUUAAAAAUCUUAAAUUUAUUUAAAAGACGAGAAGACCCUAUAGAGUUUAAUUAUUAAGAUUAUUAUUUAUUUAAGAAUUUAUAUAAAUAAUUAUUAAAUAAUUUAAUUGGGGUGAUUAAAAAAUUUAAUAAACUUUUUUUAUUUUUAUACAUUGAUUAAUGAUUAAUUGAUCCAAAAAUUUUGAUUAAAAGAAAAAAUUACCUUAGGGAUAACAGCGUAAUUUUUUUAGAGAGUUCAUAUUAAAAAAAAAGAUUGCGACCUCGAUGUUGGAUUAAAAUAAAAAUUUGGUGUAGAAGCUAGAUUAUUAAGUCUGUUCGACUUUUAAAAUUUUACA